rnacentral:lncRNA from 1 species
AAUUAAGCUUAUUUUCUUUAAUAUUUUAGAUUUUGUAUUUUGGAAAUUAUACUGGGUGAAGACUCAAAAGUCAUGGUUCUCGACGUCGUAGUGUCAGUUGGCAGCAAGAUGUCUCCCUACUUCUUCAAGGCGAACUAAAAAGUCAACACGGACGUCUACUACAAGGUCCUCAGGUACCAGGUCUUGUCAUGGUUGAAGCUCCCAAGGGACUAAUCUAUAUUUACCCAAUAUGGCGCCCUGCAGAUGUGUCUGAGAAAGUGUAGCAUUUCUUUAGAGAUAAUAUGGCUGCCUUCUGUCAGGCAAACUGCUGGCCUUUGAAUGGUUGAAUUUACAUCUUUUUUGCGAAAAUUUUGCCAUAAAAAUGGCACAAAAUAAAAAUAUGGAGAAGGGAAAACAGCUUUUACAAUUUUCGAAUUUUUGAGUCCCCACCCUGUAUAAUCGAAAGACACAGGGAAAUUUUGUCUCCACUACCUACCAGAAUAUGUGAAGAUGCAAAAUCAUCAAUGGAAAUAAGGCUUUGUCGUAACUACCUAUUAUAACAUGUAAAGUUGAUAAAGGUUUCAUUUUUUGGCAAAUUCUUUGAAAUUUUCGAUCUUUUGACCCGUCUAUAAGACAAUCAUAAUUUAUUUAUAAGACAAGCUUUCUUCUCUGUGAAGAUGCAAAAUCAUCUUUAAUUAAUAAAAACUCCAUUGAUAUUAGCUAAUAUUGAUUUGUAUUUCCAAAUAUUAGGAAAUUGGAUUGGACAUGGUCUUGAAUAAUGUACGAAUUCCGAGUAAUAUCUAGUUAAGCUUUUGGGUAUUUUGUGUAACUCCUUAAAAUUUGAACUCUUUUUGGCAAAUUUUACUCGUUUUUAAAUUUAGCCUUGAAAGUUGUUACCAUGUGGAGUCCAGAGUUCCAUUCAGACUUA